UACGUAGGGUGCGAGCGUUGUCCGGAAUUAUUGGGCGUAAAGGGCUCGUAGGCGGUCUGUCACGUCGGGAGUGAAAACUCAGGGCUUAACCCUGAGCCUGCUUCCGAUACGGGCAGACUAGAGGUAUGCAGGGGAGAACGGAAUUCCUGGUGUAGCGGUGAAAUGCGCAGAUAUCGGGAGGAACACCAGCGGCGAAGGCGGCACUCUGGGCUGGUACUGACGCUGAGGAGCGAAAGCGUGGGUAGCAAACAGG
rnacentral:rRNA from 1 species